rnacentral:rRNA from 1 species
ACCUACGGGGCGCAGCAGUGGGGAAUUUUGCGCAAUGGGGGAAACCCUGACGCAGCAACGCCGCGUGCGGGGCGAAGGCCCUCGGGCUGUAAACCGCUUUCAGCAGGGAAGACGUCGACGGUACCUGCAGAAGAAGCUCCGGCUAACUACGUGCCAGCAGCCGCGGUAAUACGUAGUGGGCGAGCGUUAUCCGGAUUCAUUGGGCGUAAAGCGCGCGUAGGCGGCCGCCUAAGCGGAACCUCUAACCCCGAGGCUCAACCUCGGGCCGGGAUCCGGACGGGGCGGCUCGAGUGCGGUAGAGGAGA